AAGUUAAUCAGCCCCUUAGAUGUACCCUCUUGCUGUACAUGUGUAAAACUCAAUAUUGUAUUUAUGAUAUGUUGAAAGAAGAUUGAAUUUGAGUAAGUCUACAUUAUAUUGAUUGAAGAUUCUUUUUCUUUUCUCCUAACAUAUCUACUAGGGUAUUCAAGUAACAGCCACAACUCCAUCCAUGAGAGCUGUGAGAUUUGAAACUGGGUUGAUUGAACUGGAACUUUCUAAUCUACUUCAGACCAAAGCAUCACCAGGAAGUAGCAGCUAUCUGAAAUUAUUUGGCAAAUGCCAAGUGGAUUUAAAUUUGGCAUUAGGACAAAUUGUCAAACAUCAGGUUUAUGAGGAAGCUGGUUCUGAUUUUCAUCAAGUUGCCUAUUUUAAAACAAGAAUUGGAUUAAGGAAUGCCCUUCGAGAAUAAAUCAGUGGUUCUUCAGAUAGAGAAGCUGUGCUUAUUACCUUGAAUAGGCCAAUUGUUUACCCACAACCUGUGGCCUUUGAUAGAGCUGUGCUAUUUUGGCUGAAUUAUAAGGCUGCCUAUGACAAUUGGAAUGAACAACGAAUGGCUUUACAUAAGGAUAUUCACAUGGCAACAAAGGAAGUAGUAGAUAGGCUACCUGGUAUCCAGCAAACAUCAGCCCAGGCCUUUGGGACUCUCUUCCUCCAGCUGACUGUGAAUGAUCUGGGAAUUUGCCUCCCUAUCGCAAAUACUGCACAGUCUAAUCACACUGGAGACCUUGACACUGGUUCUGCUUUGGUAUUGACCAUUGAAAGUACUCUCAUCACUGCUUGUUCUUCGGAGUCUCUGGUUAGCAAAGGACAUUUCAAAAACUUUUGUAUCCAUUUUUUCUGAUGGCUUUGAGACAUCAUGGGAUGACUGGAAACCUGAAAUUCGUGGAGAUCUUGUGACAUAUGCCUGUGAGUGUCUUUUAUUUUCUGUAUUGCGGUUUAGAAUUUAAAAAAAACCAAACCUUCA
rnacentral:lncRNA from 1 species